rnacentral:lncRNA from 1 species
AUAAUCUGUUCAUUCUAAUGGUUAUUUAGUAUUCCACUCUAUGAAUGUAUUAAUUUUUUUCUUUAGUUGGUAGAUAUUUAUUUUGUUUCUAGAUGUGGGCUAUUACAAAUAGUACUGCUAAGAACAUUCUUAUACAUGUCUUCUGGUUCUGUCAGAAAUAUACCCCAGUGUGUAAUUGCUGUUUCCAUGGGUAAGCAUAUGUUCAGCUUUCGUAGAUACUACCCAACAGUUUUCCAAAAUUAUUGUACAAAUUUAUACUUCCAUCAGUACUGUAUGACGGUUUCAUUUCAAAAGUUCCAGUAGACUAUCUCUUUUUUUUUUUAGCUCCUGUGUAAUUUUAGUCAGAUAUUAAACAUUUAUAUAAACUUUUACUACAAUAAUACAAGUACAUGCAAAGUUACAAAUACAGAAAAUGUUGUGGGUUUGAUUUUCAUUUCCCUCAUAAGUGAUUUGAAUCUCAUCCUAGUGCUUUUGGCUUUUUUAAUAUCUUGUUAUAUGAAGUGCCUGUUCAGUCUUUUGCCUGUUUUUUCUGUUGGAUCAUAGGUGUUUUUGCUAUUGCGAAUAAAUUUUGACACAACUUGGAAUUCCAUCUUAACACUUAUGUCGAACUGCCCAUUAAAGGAAAGACUGUAUCAAUUUAUUAGUACUCCACAUCACUCAGAUCUUCCAGUAAGAGUCCUUAGAAUGGCAGGUAUGGCCAAUAUAUGUUAAAAGAGCAAGCAUGGUGUAGACUCUGCUGCCUGUUUACCCUCUUGUAUUAAAUUCCCUUUUGUGCACCUCUGCAUUAUCUUUUUCUCCUUGUUAUCAUGUGAGAGUACUCCAGGGCCUCUCUAGAUUUUCUGAUUGAACUGAGGACACUACAAGAACAUUAUUCUAGAAAAACUAACUAUGUCAUGAUAAGGCUUCAGAACACCAUUUAUAAAAUGAAGGGAUGAGUAAGUGAGUAAAUGAGUGAGUGAGUGAAUGAAUGUGUGAAUAUGUGAAUACCUGAAAGAAUAACAAAUGAUGGCAAGAGUGAGUCUUGAAGUUGGACUCUCCAACUCGAAGUCUGAUGUAUGUUUCUUUAUGCCCUAUUAAUAACUAUUAAUCAGGAAAUAUUUCUUGAGUGUGGUAAGCUAUUGCCAUAGAGUCUUGUCCUCAACUUGUAGCUCACAAACGUGAAUGAGGGGUGAACUCUCAGGGUAACAAACUUAUAACACAUUUAGAUUUAAUUGUAUGAUAAAAUUUGGAAUUCCUGUCAUGGCUCAGUGGUUAAUAAAUCCGACUAGUAUCCGUGAGGAAGUGGGUUCAAUCCCUGGCCUCACUCAGUGGUUUAAGGAUCUGGUAUUGCCAUGAGCUAUGGUGUAGGUCACCGAUGCAGCUGGGAUCCUGCAUUGCUGUGGCUAUGGUGUAGGCCGGCGGCCACAGCUCUGAUUGGACCCCUAGCCUGGGAACUUGCAUAUGCCCUGGGUGCGUCCCUAAAAAGACAAAAAGAAAUUUUUUUGAGUAGCUUCUUUAUAAACUACUUUUAAAUACCUAUCUUAUUAUUAAAGAAAUAAUUCACUUCACGUAAUUUAACUAUUGAUGAGUGAGAUCCAAAUUAAGUGAGUGAAUGUAUAUAUUUCUCCUAGAAGAUUACUUUCAUUUAUUUGUCUCAAGCGAUAUAUAGUAUCUUCUAAGGUCAAAUGUCAACAUAUGUCAACAUAUUAAUGAAGGUAGUUUUAAAUUAAUAAAUAGCUAAUAUGAAGUAGAAGCUACUCUUAUUUUUUAAAUGUUAAUUCUAAUCUAUUUGUGGAAGGGGGAAAGAUAUGUUUUUUUACUUAGUAUUUGUCCCUGAGUCCAUCACUUUCCAUGUUUCCUCUGUAAAAUGUGGUAGGAAGUAAAGUUGGGCCGUACAUUAUUUAAGCAGCUUCUUUAGGGUUUUCCCUUUACAUGAUUUUAAAAUUUUACCAUUAUAAUAAACAGCACUGUGUAUUCAGGAGAAGUUAACAGAUACGGAUAGUUUUAAGGCUUUGUAUGCAUAUUGGCACACUGAUGAGGGAAGGGUGAUGGGAUUAUAUUAAUUUAUAUUCCUACCAGCGACCAGUGGCUGUGUCUGUUCCUCAAACCCUCAACAGGACAAGAUUUGUUUCACAUUUUUCAGCAAUUAGACAAAAUGAAGUUUCAUUGCUUUGCAUUUUUAAUUAACAGUGAAAUUGUAUCUUUCUGUCUUUAAUUAUAACUGACAAAAUGAAAGGAUCAGGAAAACCAGAAACGGAGUUAGAAGGAGAGAAAGUUUUUCAGGGUUUUUUUUUCUAAUCAAACUAUGUCAUCCCUUAAGGAAAAACCAUACACUUUAAUGUUCUUUAUUUAGUCUUCUUUAUCCAUUAGGAGCACUUAAUACUGUUUAUUUGUAAUGAUUUUUCAGUGCUGCUAGUCCAGGAGUAGGUUUUCAUGUUAGUUGUUAAUAACAACACAUAAAAUCAACUCUUGAUUUGUUGGAGUAAUGAGGUAGAGAUAGAGGGGUAGAAAUCAGUAAAUCCCAGUGGCACAUAACUGGUGAAGGGAAAGCUAGACUCUCAGUGGACUCUUACCUCCUUCCCUGAGUGGUUUAGGUCAUCAAGUAGCUGCAUAAAGAUCUGUAUAGAUGCUUGUGGCUAAACUUAGUCUGCUUGAUGCCAGCAGGGCCAGUUGAAAGGUAAAGAAACCGAGGAAACAAAUAAACUUUUCUUCUGGACAAUUUUGCCAGCAAUUUUAACAGAUUUUUUCCCUUAAUAUAUCACAUGAAUCCACUUAAUUAAAAAUAUUUCAGCAAUCAAACUAUUGUACAUUAUGAUUGUUUGCUAAAAUGUUAUUUUUUAAAUUUAUAAUUUUAUACCCUAUUUAUUUCUAGGAAGAAUUUGGGAUAGCUUACAAAAGAAAGCAGUGGUUAACGAAUCUGACUAGGAACCAUGAGGUUGCAGGUUUGAUCCCUGGCCUUGCUCAGUGGAUUAAGGAUCCGGCGUUGCCGUGAGCUGUGGUGUAGGUUGCAGACUCGGCUUGGAUCCCAAGUUGCUGUGGCUCUGGCGUAGGCCAGUGUAGGCCAGCUGUAGGCCAGUGGCCUGGGAACCUCCAUAUGCUGCGGGAGCGGCCCUAG